rnacentral:rRNA from 1 species
UGGGGAAUAUUGCGCAAUGGGGGCAACCCUGACGCAGCCAUGCCGCGUGAAUGAAGAAGGCCUUCGGGUUGUAAAGUUCUUUCGGUAGCGAGGAAGGCAUUUAGUUUAAUAGACUAGGUGAUUGACGUUAACUACAGAAGAAGCACCGGCUAACUCCGUGCCAGCAGCCGCGGUAAUACGGAGGGUGCGAGCGUUAAUCGGAAUAACUGGGCGUAAAGGGCACGCAGGCGGUGACUUAAGUGAGGCGUGAAAGCCCCGGGCUUAACCUGGGAAUUGCAUUUCAUACUGGGUCGCUAGAGUGCUUUAGGGAGGGGUAGAAUUCCACGUGUAGCGGUGAAAUGCGUAGAGAUGUGGAGGAAUACCGAAGGCGAAGGCAGCCCCUUGGGAAUGUACUGACGCUCAUGUGCGAAAGCGUGGGGAGCAAACAG